rnacentral:rRNA from 1 species
UGGGGAAUUUUGGACAAUGGGGGAAACCCUGAUCCAGCCAUCCCGCGUGUGCGAUGAAGGCCUUCGGGUUGUAAAGCACUUUUGGCAGGAAAGAAACGUCAUGGGUUAAUACCCCGUGAAACUGACGGUACCUGCAGAAUAAGCACCGGCUAACUACGUGCCAGCAGCCGCGGUAAUACGUAGGGUGCAAGCGUUAAUCGGAAUUACUGGGCGUAAAGCGUGCGCAGGCGGUUCGGAAAGAAAGAUGUGAAAUCCCAGAGCUCAACUUUGGAACUGCAUUUUUAACUACCGGGCUAGAGUGUGUCAGAGGGAGGUGGAAUUCCGCGUGUAGCAGUGAAAUGCGUAGAUAUGCGGGGGAGCACCGAUGGCGAAGGCAGCCUCCUGGGAUAACACUGACGCUCAUGCACGAAAGCGUGGGGAGCAAACAGG